rnacentral:rRNA from 1 species
GAUGAACGCUAGCGGCAGGCUUAAUACAUGCAAGUCGAGGGGCAGCACGGUUAGCAAUAACUGGUGGCGACCGGCGCACGGGUGCGUAACACGUAUACAAUCUACCUUAAACAGGGGGAUAGCCUUUCGAAAGAGAGAUUAAUACCCCGUAAUAAAUUGAACGGCAUCGUUUGAUUUUGAAAGCUCCGGCGGUUUGAGAUGAGUAUGCGUCUGAUUAGCUAGUUGGUGAGGUAACGGCUCACCAAGGCGACGAUCAGUAGGGGAUCUGAGAGGACUAACCCCCACACUGGUACUGAGACACGGACCAGACUCCUACGGGAGGCAGCAGUAAGGAUAUUGGUCAAUGGAGGCAACUCUGAACCAGCCAUGCCGCGUGCAGGAUGACGGCCCUAUGGGUUGUAAACU